rnacentral:rRNA from 1 species
UACGAAGGGGCUAGCGUUGCUCGGAAUUACUGGGCGUAAAGGGCGCGUAGGCGGAUGUCUAAGUUGGGGGUGAAAUCCCGGGGCUCAACCUCGGAACCGCCUUCAAUACUGGAUAUCUUGAGUUCGGGAGAGGUGAGUGGAAUGCCGAGUGUAGAGGUGAAAUUCGUAGAUAUUCGGCGGAACACCAGUGGCGAAGGCGACUCACUGGCCCGAUACUGACGCUGAGGCGCGAAAGCGUGGGGAGCAAACAGG